AGUGAACGCUGGCGGUAGGCCUAACACAUGCAAGUCGAACGGCAGCACAGUAAGAGCUUGCUCUUACGGGUGGCGAGUGGCGGACGGGUGAGGAAUACAUCGGAAUCUACUUUUUCGUGGGGGAUAACGUAGGGAAACUUACGCUAAUACCGCAUACGACCUACGGGUGAAAGCAGGGGAUCUUCGGACCUUGCGCGAUUGAAUGAGCCGAUGUCGGAUUAGCUAGUUGGCGGGGUAAAGGCCCACCAAGGCGACGAUCCGUAGCUGGUCUGAGAGGAUGAUCAGCCACACUGGAACAGAGACAAGGUCCAGACUCCUACGGGAGGCAGCAGUGGGGAAUAUUGGACAAUGGGCGCAAGCCUGAUCCAGCUAUACCGCGUGGGUGAAGAAGGCCUUCGGGUUGUAAAGUCCUUUUGUGGGGAAAGAAAAGCAGCAGGUUAAUACCCCGCUGUUCUGACGGUACCCAAAGAAUAAGCACCGGCUAACUUCGUG
rnacentral:rRNA from 1 species